rnacentral:lncRNA from 1 species
UAUCUACUACUUAUUAACAACAACUUCAUGUAUAUUAUCAAAUCAUCAACCAAAUCGAUCAACACAGAUAUAUAUACAUCCAACGUACUCAAAAUCGAUCAACUCAAUCACACUCAAAAUCGAUCAACUCAAAUAAAACUCAAAAUCAACAUAUAUACACAUAUAUGUACCUAUAUAGAGCUCCAUAAACUAAUUAUGGACAGAUUUCGAUAACACCCAAACUUUUUGUCCCGUUUUUCUUCUCCUGUUUUUUUUUCCCAGAUGAGCUGCUGUUCAGAUCUGCAAAUAUAAGACACUUUAGCUGAUGACAUUUUAAUUUCGUCGGCUAAACUUUUAUAUUUUCAUCGGCUAAAGUUUACAGACUAUAGCCGACCAAAAAAAUUCUUUAGCCGACGAAAAUUUAAAUUAGCCGACGAAGGAAAAUUUCGUCGGCUAAAGUAGACUUUAGCUGACGAAAAAAUAAUUUGUUGGCCUGGUUUUUUUAUUUUCGUCGGCUAAAUCCUUUCUUCUGGUAGUGUUCUCUCGUAUUCUCAUACUCUACAACACUUUAUCAGACUUGGUGCUCUUACCAAGAUUUAAAUUAAAGUUCCUGCUUUCAGAAUUUAAAUUUACCUCUGAUGAGUUGAGGUCGGUUGUGGGCGUCGGCCGAGGAGUAGGAGCCCUUCUGGACUUGCUUGGAAGGCGAGCAAUCUUAGAAUUUUCGGAUUCUUGAGGCUACCUAUAGAAAAAACAAUUUUUCGCCUACUUAUGCUUCGAGUUUGGGGCUUAAAAUUUGACAAGAGGAGCAGAUCUAGAUGGGGAAGCUGAUGUCAAAAAUUCAGGUUGAUCGGAGCACGAGAAGGCGGUGAACCGGUGGUCGGCAGCGGCGGCGGUCUGGAAUCUUCCGGCGGCCGGUUUGGAGACUUUCCGGCCGGUUCUCGGGGUGAGGCCGNNNNNNNNNNNNNNNNNNNNUCCAUCUUCUGGGAGGCACACCAUUUUCUACGGUCCCAUCAAAUGCCUAUGCAUCGAACCGCCAUUUGUGAUCAUAUGGAAGGAGAGUACGGUGACCCAAUUUGCAUAUCUUGUUGCAAUGACUGCUACUCCCCUCAUCGCUAAGGCACUCUAGAUAAGCCUUGUAUCCCCAAACAAAGUUGUCCGACAACAUCCCACGGGCAAGAAAAUCACUGAUGGUACCAACAACCAUGACAUGCAUCUGGAACAUCUCGUGCAUGUACUUGUCAUAAGUGGGAUGACCAACGUCCCACAAAAACUUAUGCUCUUCAAUCAAAAGUCUCAAAUACACAUCGAGACACUUCCCUGGAUAACCGGGCCCCGGAAUCAAUAAACUCAACAUAUUGUAUUCCUUCUUCAUGCACAUCCAUGGAGGAAGGUUGUACGGUACCAAAAUCACUGGCCAUACACUAUAUUGAAGACUCAUGUUGCCGAAAGGGUUGAACCUCUUCGUAUGAGAGCCCGAGCCUCACAUUUCGGACCUCUGACGCAAAAUACUCCCUGUCUAUAUGCUUCCAAGCCUCCCCGUCAGCAGGAUGUAUAAGGGUAUCUUCGUCAUGCAAUUCCCUAUCAGCGUGUCAUCUCAUAGCUUCAGCCGUGUGUGAAGACAUGUACAACCGCUCUAGCCUAUCCCUCAACGGGAAAUACAGAAGUACCUUCACAGGUUUCCUAUUGCCUGCAGGAGUCAGCUUAUACCUGUCAGUGUGACAUACCGGACAUGCGUCAAGGCCACCAAGGUCAUUCCCUUCUGGAUCUUUACCCCAGAAGAGAACGCAGUCAUAUCUACAUGCAUGAAUCUUGAUGUAGGAAAGCCCAAGAUCUUUCAGGAUACAUCGGACCUUAUGAUGAGUGGUAGGAAGACGAUGACCGUGGGGCAGCAUCGAAACAGUGUACUGUAGAUAAUCAUCAACAGCCUUCACGGUUGAUUUUGUGUCAACUUUAAUCUUCAUUACGUCCAUCACACUUUCAAGAACGGUCUUCUGACAAUCGGGUUACACAGGGGUCUGUUGGAAAGCAAGCAGUUUGUUGUACUUGUCAAUACCAGCAGUGUUGACAGCUCUAGGGAAGGGCUGCACCAGUUCAGGCAUAUACUGUCCUUGAGCGCAUACACCUCUCUCAUAAGGAAACAUGUCGUUGACGAAGGCCGUUGUUGGAUCGUUGGAUGUACUGCCCGUCUCAGAAAAUUGCUCAUGAUCAUGCGGACCCCUUGAUGAUGUUUCACUGUGAUAUAACCAACAUGUGUACUUCUCCCAAAACCCGUUACUCUUCAGGUGCUGUCAUACUUUGUCAAUCGCAAAUCGAUGCAUAUCACUGUGACACUGACAUUUCGUGCACGGGCAAUAGAAAAUUGUAUUCCCGUUAGCAUUAGCUAGCGCAUAUUCCAGAAAACUCAUAACUCUUUUACCAUAUCUUUUGUCCCAUUUUGGAAGCGAAAUCCAACUCUUAUCCAUAUCCUGAAAAUAUAACAAAAUAUAUAUGUAUAACGCUAGCUAAUUAUUAAUUAAAUUCCAUGCCAUAUAUAAAAUCUCAAUUCAUUUAGUAUAUAUUCUACGUACUACAACUAAUUAAUAACAAAUUAAUUAACACAUAUAUAUACUUAAUAAUUACAUAACAAUAUUAUAUAUCAACAUCAUCACAAAAUCAUCAUCAACUCAUAUCAUCAACAACUUCAUACCAUCAACACAAUAUUAUGAAUUAAUUAACAUAUAUAUAUAUAUAUCUACUACUUAUUAACAACAACUUCAUGUAUAUUAUCAAAUCAUCAACCAAAUCGAUCAACACAGAUAUAUAUACAUCCAACGUACUCAAAAUCGAUCAACUCAAUCACACUCAAAAUCGAUCAACUCAAAUAAAACUCAAAAAUCAACAUAUAUACACAUAUAUGUACCUAUAUAGAGCUCCNNNNNNNNNNNNNNNNNNNNUUUUUUUUCGAUGGAGGGGCUAUUAGCAAAGCUUGGUAAGAGCACCAAGUCUGAUAACGUGUUUAAGAGUAUGUGAAUACGAGAGAAAAGGUCCACUCAUUCAUUAAUAGAUUAGCCUUUAUAUAGGCAUUACAUAAAGAAUCCAUGUAAAUCAGAGAUAGAUAUGUAAGAGAUAUUAUAGUCUAAUAAGGAGAAGUUCAGUCAAGACACAUCAUUAAAGAUAAGAAUGUAAAUUCCUUCAACAUAUAUAUAUAUAUAUGUAUAUAUACACCCGCGCAUUAUUGUGUGCGCAUUAUAUAUAAAGAAACAAACUUUAUAGCGGAUACUAUUGCAUGCAUGUAUCAACAUAUUUUUCAUUUGAAUGAGAAUAUGCCGACAUUAAUUUAGCUACACAUGAGAUUCUAUAAUAAGAGAUCUUCUAUUUUUGAGCAUGGGUCCUUGUUAGUCAUUGUUCUAGCUACUCGAAACAAUUAUAAACAUAAGCCCUAGCUUGUUAAAUUUAAGAGAAACUAUAACCAAUCCUAUCGCGGCUAAUUUCUUCUUCUUUUUUUUAGGAAAAAUUACUAUAUUAUAAAGUCCAACAUUAUAUCAAGCGGUUUCAGUGGACAAGAACCGAAAAAGGUUAAACCAUAACCUAAUCUAGAAGUCUCGAUACAUCCUCAUAGUCAACUUCAAGAAGAAACAACCAUUUCAAACUCUACAUGUCAAAACUGCCAACAAAUAUGCACAUGUAAUCUCCUAAUUACAUUAACAACAAGAACUAACUGACAUUAAAAUAGUCUCUGGACACGACACCAUAACCAUGGCUCACCAACAACACGACCCCGACACCAACCUACCAAAAUCCUAACUCCUCGCUCAAAGAGGAGGCCAAAACCCCUCGCUCAAACUAUGAAAUUCUUAUAACGCAUUGAUCAACAUUUCAGUAAUAUUUCCAUUCUAGUAUUGUGUUGCUCCUUUAGGGACGAAUUCAUGAUUAGUCGAGAAAUACUACUCUAAUACUCUAAUAGCAAAGUUAGGACAUCAAGGGUACUGCUCCAUAGUCUAAAUUGAACAAAUGUGUUUAUACAAAUCUUACAUCAAAGGUACCUUCGAGUUCUUCUCCCUUUUUUUGAUUAUAAAGAAAUGUCGACACUAAGUAGCUACUUGUGUGUUAGUGUAUAUGGAGCAUGCUGAAUUCCAAUAAGCUUGAACUCAAUCGAGGGGACUGCUUUGUAAUCAAUGGCUAAUACCCUUUUACAUUAUACAAAUGACCUCAACCCAAUCCAGUUCUACUUGACCAAGGGCCAUUAACUCUUUUGUUCUAUAAAAAAGAACCAAUUCAAUUAAAC